AGCUUUCUUCCCUCGUCAUUCCUCAUAUAUGUGGGCAAUUCAAUGCUGUUACCAGUGGGAGUCCAUAGUGCGUGUGUGUCUGGUCCAGUAUGUGGUUCCAUAGGAUAAGAAAAAAGUUUGUCAAGAAUGGAUCUCUAAAUGUGUUUCACCUUGAGGUAAAUAAUUUGCAUGAUGUCUACUUUUUGUUAAUUUGGGUCAGGCCAAAAUAAGGUGUAGGCAAAUUUCAGAUUUUUUAUUUGUACUGCAUUUUCACAAAUUAAAACAGUGACCUUGACAUUACCAGUCUAUGGGGGGAGUCAUGGAGAAGCCAAGCUUAAAUGAGAUUUCAAAAUUUUGUGGCCUUUGUUAACAUUUAAAAACCAGGUGCUUCUACUUGUGAAAGAACAGGUAGAGAUAAGGCCCAUCAGUUCAGGUAGAGAUAAUGAAAGAACAGAAGAAGGACUGAGCAAGAGGAGGAACUUCGUCGACCCAGCCGUGAGCAAAUGAUGCUCUGGCGAGUCGAUGAUGACCGUCAUGGAGAUCUGCCUGCGGGGCCUGACCAAGGAACCAAUGCUGAAGCCGUUAGACGAGGACGUGCUCUAGAACCUGCAGUUUGCAGCCCUAGUGUAGGACGACUGGAACAGCGAGGAGUCCCCGCUCUCAUCGUCGCAGAUCCGUGCACAAUCCGCAGAGUACUAACCUCUAGGAAGGCUGAGAAAAAAUAUUGGCAAGCAUUACCAUUAUGAUCCUCCAUCGAUCAUCAUUGUUGAAGGAAUUUCUGUUUCUCUUCAUAUAGGAUACAGAUAUGUGAUUCUCAUGUGAUCCUUUUGCUGGAAACUUGCUAAUCUUAGGGGUGUUGCUACUGGUGUAGAAACCGUUUUAUCAAAAGAACUAAAGUAGUAGCUAAUCCAAGCAUUGAAGAAUUGACCCAGAGGUUACGCUAUACUGGCACGAAGUCAGAGCAGCGCCUAAAGACUACACAAGAUAGUUUCUGAUGACCUUCAGUCUAUAUGUCCUAACCAACAACAUCCACCUUUUGUUUUAUCAAUUGAUCCAGUAUCUUUGCCCUUUUGGCAUUGCUGUGAGCAAGAUAUGUAUAGCCUUUAGAUUUCCAUUCAUGUAUGAUACUGCA